AUAGCAUGUUUUUAUUCAACGUAUUUGGAUCGUCUAAUCAAAGAACAAACACCAAGUCAAGAUAACAAAAAUCCAGUAACUAAUUACUGUGAAUCAGUUAUUCCAGGAACUGCAAACAAUUUUUUAGAGAACAUUUUUACUGCUGUCAAUCAAUAUGAAUCAGAUUCUGACGAUGAGUAAACGUCCACUUCUCAACACUCCGGGAUCUUCUUACUGUAGUCAGAAUAUUCCAGUACAAACGACGAUUUUUUUUAAUAACCUUAUAAUAUUAUAUAUAUAUAUCUAACCGUUAAAUAGAGUAACAACGUUUCUAUUUUGUCUAAUUAUUUUAUGUAAUAUUAAAUUGUCUAAUACAAUAAUAUUUUAUGAACUUGAUUCGUAUUUUGUUAACUUCUAACAUAUGUAUAGGAAUUGUAUCAUUAUUAC